rnacentral:rRNA from 1 species
UACGAAGGGGGCUAGCGUUGCCCGGAUUUCCUGGGCGUAAAGAGCGCGCAGGCGGUCGAUCAAGUCGAGUGUGAAAGCCCCCGGCUCAACUGGGGAGGGUCAUUCGAUACUGAUCGACUCGAAGGCAGGAGAGGGUAGUGGAAUUCCCGGUGUAGUGGUGAAAUGCGUAGAUAUCGGGAGGAACACCAGUGGCGAAGGCGACUACCUGGCCUGUUCUUGACGCUGAGGCGCGAAAGCUAGGGGAGCAAACGGG